UGGUGGGAGGCCAAGGUCGCCGAAUCCUCUA
rnacentral:piRNA from 1 species